GAUGAACGCUGGCGGCGUGCCUAAUACAUGCAAGUAGAACGCUGAAGGAAGGAGCUUGCUCUUUCCGGAUGAGUUGCGAACGGGUGAGUAACGCGUAGGUAACCUGCCUGGUAGCGGGGGAUAACUAUUGGAAACGAUAGCUAAUACCGCAUAACAGUAGAUGUUGCAUGAUAUCUACUUAAAAGGUGCAAUUGCACCACUACCAGAUGGACCUGCGUUGUAUUAGCUAGUUGGUGAGGUAACGGCUCACCAAGGCGACGAUACAUAGCCGACCUGAGAGGGUGAUCGGCCACACUGGGACUGAGACACGGCCCAGACUCCUACGGGAGGCAGCAGUAGGGAAUCUUCGGCAAUGGACGGAAGUCUGACCGAGCAACGCCGCGUGAGUGAAGAAGGUUUUCGGACCGUAAAGCUCUGUUGUAAGAGAAGAACGAGUGUGAGAGUGGAAAGUUCACACUGUGACGGUAUCUUACCAGAAAGGGACGGCUAACUACGUG
rnacentral:rRNA from 1 species